UUAUAAGAGACAGCAGCAGCCGCGGGAAUACGAAGGGUGCAAGCGUUAAUCGGAAUUACUGGGCGUAAAGCGUGCGUAGGCGGUUUGUUAAGUCUGCUGUGAAAUCCCCGGGCUCAACCUGGGAAUGGCAGUGGAUACUGGCAAGCUAGAGUGUGUCAGAGGAUGGUGGAAUUCCCGGUGUAGCGGUGAAAUGCGUAGAGAUCGGGAGGAACAUCAGUGGCGAAGGCGGCCAUCUGGGACAACACUGACGCUGAGGCACGAAAGCGUGGGGAGCAAACAGGAUUAGAUACCCCCGUAGUCCCUGUCUCUUAUAC
rnacentral:rRNA from 1 species